AAGAUACUGCUAUAUGGUUCUCAUAUUAUGAACCAAUACCCAUCGGGGACGAGGCAGAAUUAAGCCCCCCAAAUAUGGGAAUAGUUUCCUAAUGGUGGAUAGAGAUUUUACUUACCUGCCUAUAUUUAUAUAUUUUUGUAAAUAUUGCUUUUUUAUUAUUAUUUUAAUCAACAUAAUACAUACCAAAAAUGGUACAUUUGGCAGAUUUUUGUGUUUUGUGGUAUCAGUUAUAUACGUAUUUUCGAGGUUUUGAAAGGUCCCAGUGGUGUUGUGGCUCCAUAAGCACCGCCCUGUAGUGUAUGUGGCUAACAAAUACCAGAACAUAACCAAAACAGAGAACACUGACAAAAACAAACAGAGCACGUAAUAAACACUAAAAGAAAAUAUAUUACGAAUAAAUAAAUACAUUGUUGUGGUUGUUUAUUUAUGUAGGAUAAGUAUUGCAUGUCAUUACAACAACGUUUUCAGUUCUUAGCAGCAGUUACCCAGCAAACAGGUAACGUAACCGUAAUGUUACUUGUAGGUUGUCUUUUGGUUAGGUUAUUACAGAACGUUCUGCAAACCUUCGGCCAACGUUAUUAGUAUAUUCACCUUGCCAACAGAAAUGUGUUUCAUUGUCAUUAUAAUGUUGAUUUGCAAUUAAUUAGAGUUGAAUGAUGAAGAGUGAAAACGUAAUCUUGGGGGAAAAAAAAGUUAGCAGAUAAUUUUCUUCUAACGUUCCUGCAACAUUACUAAAAACUGGUCUUGGAUGCGAAAGGUUAUUUUGAGUGACGUUUUUCAGAUAAUGCAUAACACCAGCUUUUAGAAAACUGUGUGCUUUAUAAAUGCGGUGUAUUUGUUGGAUCGGCACAGCAGACAGUCACACGUCACAACAGCUGGAUUGUACCAUGAUAGCGAACUCGGGAAAAGACGGUAACUUGGUUUAUUAUUCCAAUACUGCUGGCCGUAGUCUACGCCAAAAUAAUACAUCUGACAGCACUCUAUCCCCAACAGGCUUUCUUGCUGGGGUUUUCAGACAGUUGUAUUCACUCAGCAAUUUGACUGCUCUGCCCCUGGCAGCUACAGUCCCCCCAUAUUUAUCAUUUUAAGCCAGCCCACCCGGCCAGCUAACCGUCUUUCGCGCUCUUUAGAGGCUAUGACCCCCAAAAGAACACUGAAACCCAGCGCGACUAUAACUAUUUCAGGUCUAGGUCAUACGAGAGAUCAGUUGUGAGGUCUGGCAGCUCAGAUACGCCAAGAUCACCUUGCAGGCCAGAUGAAAGGUCAAGAUCAAUUCGCAGAUGGGAUGAGAGGACCCCUACAAGGUCAAGUUGCAGGGGAAGACCCGUGCCGUUCUCUCAUUGCACAAACCCUUCCAUCUCUACAGAGAAUGCCACCAGAAGACUUCCGACUGAAUUUUCAGAGGAGUGUCCUCAUGAAGCUUGACAGCAUUCUUGAGAAGAAGCAGGAAGGCUUGGUCCUAUUGUAGAGGGUGGUUUCUUCCCUUGGCAGCAGUGUGGAGGACAUUGACAAUGUGUUUCCUCGACCCUGGCAGACCAUAGAAGAAAUGGAAAAUAUGUGCACCCAUCUGGAUAAAGAUGCUGACUUGAGGAAAAAAAUGAUCCUGUACCUGAGUUCCAUUGGAGGGACUGACCUGGGAGACACAGUGCCGAAAAUGAUACGCAAGCUGUUUACAAACAAGCUUAUGUCGCGCUACAACAUGAAGGCCAGAAAUGGAAAGCUGAGGUUCCAUUAAAGAAACAACCAAAUGGAACCACAAGGUGACCAGGACAGAGGUGGAGUUGAAAGUAGGGGAGACUGAAACUGGCACCACAUCGAGAGAAACAAAAUCACGUAUGCAGCCAUGACGCCUCCUUCACUUUCCUUCCAUUUAGGUAACCAAGUAAGAGAUUAUGCCAUAUUUGGUCAAAUGGGCCAUAAUACAUUAUGGACUGGAUUUAAUAGGAACGAGCUGUUCUCUAUCAACAAGUGGACAUGUACAUCAUGUACAUUGAGAACUAAUGUGUAUCUGUAUAUUACUAAACAACUUAA